rnacentral:misc_RNA from 1 species
AAGUCGUAACAAGGUUUCCGUAGGUGAACCUGCGGAAGGAUCAUCAACAAAAUGGAUCGUAGCCGUUAUGGUGUCCUUUUCCGGGUGCCGCGGCCAGGCCUCUUUUGGUCUGAACUCUUCUUGAUCAGAGCUCUGACACAUUUUGUGCGAUGGUGUCCCACCUUUUGGCUGGGGACUACCAGCCAUUGAAAAACACAACUUUUGACAACGGAUCUCUUGGCUCUC